GAGCAGCAGGGGUCUUCGGACCUUGCGCGAUUGAUGAGCCGAUGUCGGAUUAGCUAGUUGGCGGGGUAAGGCCCACCAAGGCGACGAUCCGUAGCUGGUCUGAGUGGAUGAUCAGCCACACUGGAACUGAGACACGGUCCAGACUCCUACGGGUGGCAGCAGUGGGGUAUAUUGGACAAUGGGCGCAAGCCUGAUCCAGCCAUACCGCGUGGGUGAAGAAAGGCCUUCGGGUUGUAAAGCCCUUUUGUUGGGAAAGAAAUCCAGCUGGCUAAUACCYGGUUGGGAUGACGGUACCCAAAGAAUAAGCACCGGCUAACUUCGUGCCAGCAGCCGCGGUAAUACGAAUGGGUGCAAGCGUUACUCGGAAUUACUGGGCGUAAAGCGUGCGUAGGUGGUCGUUUAAGUCCGUUGUGAAAGCCCUGGGCUCAACCUGGGAACUGCAGUGGAUACUGGGCGACUAGAGUGUKGUAAGAGGGGUAGCGGAAUUCCUGGUGUAGCAGUCGAAAUGCGUAGAWGAUCAGGACGGWACAUCCAUGGCGAWSGGCAGCUACYUGGACCAACACUGAACACUGAGRGCACGAWAGCGUGGGGAGCWAACAGGAUUAGAURSCCUGGUAGUCCACGCCCUAAACGAUGCGAACUGGAUGUUSGGUGCAAUUUGGCACGCMRYAUCGAAGCUAACGCGUUAAGUUCGCCGCCUGGGGAGUACGGUCGCAAGACUGAAACUCAAAGGAAUUGACGGGGGCCCGCACAAGCGGUGGAGUAUGCGGUUCCAUCAGAUGCCACGCGAAGAACCUUACCUGGCCUUGACAUGUCGAGAACUUUCCAGAGAUGGAUUGGUCCCUUCGGCAACUCGAACACAGGUGCUGCAUGGCUGUCGUCAGCUCGUGUCGUGAGAUGUUGGGUUAAGUCCCGCAACGAGCGCAACCCUUGUCCUUAGUGGCCAGCACGUGAUGGUGGGAACUCUAAGGAGAGCGCCGGUGACAACCGGAGGCACGCGGGGCUACUACUCGACC
rnacentral:rRNA from 1 species